rnacentral:lncRNA from 1 species
GUCUAUCCAAACUGUCUUCGCAUAGGAUAAAGCAAUCAUCUAAGUACCUUUUCCAGUUUUCUAUCAAGUAAUUAUGAGAAUGCUUUACAUAUUUCUGCCUUAAUUUUUCUUAUAUUUUUAUCUUAAGAUAUCCCAUUGCUAAAUUUGCAUAUGAUGGGACUACCUUGCCAUUCCAAAUUUUUGUUUAUAUAUUACAUGGUUAAAAUUUUAAAAAGUUGUUUUGUAGAAGACCUUCAAUAAUAAAUUCUCUUUAUAUGUGAUCUGUUGACUCAUGAGGUCAUUUAUUAAGCCAGAAAUGUAUUACUUUUAUUCCAUAUUCAUAAUAAACAUUUGAAUACAGGUUAACCACAUCAAAAGAAACUAUUAAUAUUUCUUCAUUCACUAAGUCGAAGGUGGUUUAACAUAUCCCAAGUUAUAUUUUAGUUGCUCUGUGUAUGCUUCAAAUAUAGUUUCAGUAAUGUGCCUCAGUAGGUUUCACACUAUAGGUCCUACCACUAUUCGUUAUAAUUUUAAAUCAUUUAAGUGAAGCACAUUUAAACAAGAAACUGAGGAUUUCCUAUGGUCAUCAUUUAUAAAAUUACUUUUAUGGACUUUUAGCAUUCCAUAUAAAUUUCUUGUUUUACAUUUUAAAAAGUAGUCUUUAUCAGUUAAGCCGGUAUUGAAUGAAUUGGCUUGGACAUUAAGCUUUUGCAUUAUUUUCUACUGAUUGCAGUUAAUUUUUCAUAACAUUGUAAAGACUGUAAUGGAGGAAAAUAUUCAUUUGAACUUUUAGGGAAAAAAGGAAAAAUAAAUAAAUUUUGUAAAUGCUCAAUGUACAGGUUACCAAAAUGCCUUUUAGAAUAUUGAAAUAAACAUUUGGUAGUUUAAAAAAAGGAAAAAUAAGGGAUCUUUUCGGUUUGAACGACAGUUUCUUCUAGCAGUGUCAUAUGAAAUUGUCACCCAUAAUUAUGACCCUAGUAUCAAUCUAUCACAUUUCAAUCAGCUUUAGGGUUAGGGUUAGUUAAGGUCAGGGUUAGGGUUAGGGGUGGGGGGAAGGGUAUCUUUUUUCUUCACAAAUAUAAAUAAACCCAAUCUGUUUCUUAAACGAGGGACAUUUUCAUAUGGCACAGAAUGUUUUUUUUACCUCAAUACACGUCAUUGAUUGGUUGAAAUUGCAGAAAUUGAAGAAAAACAAAACUACAACUAUCUUACAAACUAUAGAAUUUUCUCAAUAAAGCCAAGAGAAAAAGAUGUUUUAUAAACACAUUCUACCAGUAUACGAAGUUUAAAAUAUUUUAGUUACCUAGAAAUUAUGUUAAAAACUGCCAUUCAAACCGAAAAGAUCCAGUGAAGGAAAUCUAAAGUAGUCUGUGCCCAUUACAACUAUAGCACUUCCUUUAUCAACUUCUUUUAGAAUCAGUUUUGAAUCAGUUUAUUUACUUCUAUUCCUGGCUAAAUAUUCAUCAUUGUUGUCUUUAUGAAACAGCUCUUCUGUAAGCCUUAGUUUUCAGCAGGUUUGUAACAUUAUCUUUGAUUUCAUAUAGAUUCAAAUUUUGUGGUGUUGGUGUAAAUUUAAGCCUGUUUGCAAGUGUGUUUAUUUAUUCUAAUGUUAAUAUUUUAUUGGACAAAUUUAAAACUUGUUUUUUUUGUGUCUUAGCUGUUCCAUCUGCUGUCUGUGUUCCUUUUGACAGGGUCUAACAAAUGAUUAUGAACGUUUUGAAGUUUUGAUUAGCUAGAGUUGUUCUUUUCAUAUAUUCAUGUAAUAAUCAACAGAAUUAUGUUACCUGUUAUAAAUAUUUGCAAAGUUCUUUCUCUGUUUCUUUGUUGUUUCGAAAUUCUCUCUCUCAGAAUGAUUUCCAAAUUUGUUUCUUCUGUAAUUGUUCUGUACUUGUCGCAAAAACAGAUCUUGAGUUACCUGUUGUUCCCUACCUAGAUUGGUUUCUGUUAAAUUCACUCUCAAAUAAUUUUCUUUUAAAAUUCAGUAUUUGUGUUUUUGUUGAAUAUUUGGCCAUUGUUUUGAAUUUUUAAUGCAUCGUAAAUUUUAUAUUAUAUGUGUGUAUGCAUGCAUGUGGGUGUGUGCAAAUUCUCACACACAUAUAUGCAUAUAUACAUAUGCAUACAUAUAUAUACACAUACAUCAUCAUAAUCAUCACCAUUUUCCUCAUUUUUAUGUCCGCUCUUCCAUGCUGGUAUGAGUCAAACAAAACUUAUGGAGGCAGUUAUUCUAUGACCAAUUGUUCUUCCUGUUGUCAAUACUUUCUUGUUUCCAAGUAAGGUAAUAUUUCAUCCUACGCCUUUGAUUGCCAAACGACAGCUCAAUGGUUAGACAUGUUUUUGAGACAGAUUGCAAACAAUGAUACCAUUGCAUAGACUGUGGCAUUGUUCUCACUCAGUAGGCAGUAAAUGUCAAUGAGAAUGUUAUAAAGAGAAUGAGAAGCCAUGAACACAAACAAAUUUGUACACACACACACACACACACACAUACACACACGCACACACACACACAUUUACAUAUAUAUACUAUACACGCACACACACAUACACACGUACAAACACACACAAACUCACAUACACACUGACAGAUAUACAUACACAAUAUACACCUAUCCGUGCAUGCACACAUACACAUAAACACAUACAAACGCACACAUACACGCACACACAUACACGUACAUACAUACACACUCACACAAAUGAACCCACACAUACAUCCCUACACACACACACGUACAAGCACACACACACAUACACUAGGUUAAGCACAGUUACUCGCCACACACCCAAACUCUACGCAUACACACACGAACACACACAUGCACACACACACACUACAAACAAUACACACACAUGAUACAUAUACUUACACGCACACACAUAUACCCCUUUGUUUUUUUACCUGGUUUUGACCUGGCUGGAUACAAACAAGUGCCACUCCUUUAUGACAGCUAGCUUGCCAUGCCUAUUAUUCACCAUACAUACACACACACACACACACACGCACGCACAAACACACUUGUCAUCCUUGCACACACACACACACGCACCGACACACAUUACUUGUCUUUGAAACUCUCUUGUUUUUAAAAAUCAUGAUUUAUCUACCUCUCAACUUCUGUUCUUUCAACAUGUGAUCUCUUGAGCACCACCAGCAAAAAUAUUUUUUCCUCUGUCUUCCCUUCUCGGGAUCUUUCCUUCUCCUUGUUUCCGACGAAGAGCUCCACUCGAAACGUUAAACCCUCCUUCCCUUCUUUCCUGAGCGUCAAAUAAUACUUUAAUUGUUCCACGUCCUCGCAUUGCUGUGUUUUUUUCUGUGUUUUCUUGUUUGGAUUAACUAUAUAUAUAUAUAUAUAUGCACACACACACACACACACACACACACACACACACACAUAUAUAUAUAUAUAUAUAUUUGUAUCUCUGUUGUAAGGUUUCAUUUCCACACAUGCCAGCUGAAUUCAGUUCGUCUCCAGUCGAAAGACACCUGUUGUUAUGUCCUGUUAUUAUUAUUUUUAUUGUAUUUAUAUUUGUGUAACAUUGUUUUUCCGUCCUUGUUUUCGUAUACAUUCGAUGCUUUCUUCCAAGGAAUCUAAUUCUCUUAGCUUAGUUUUUCCUUGGGGCUGGUCAGAUUGGAGCAAAUGAAGAGGUAAAAAAUUUGUUGUGAUAUAAGAAAGUCCCACUUUGACUGUCUCUUCUUCAACUCCAUCACUUGUACCUAUGGAAUUAGGGAAUCACUAUGUAAUCACUUAGCCAGGUAGAAAUAACAGUGAAAUACCUCUUAAAUCAUAUUCUCUUAUCUUGUGUAAGAACAAGACAGUUGAGAUAGUGUAAUGCGACAUACCACUAUGAUAACAGAAAGUGGUAAACAGAAUGCUUUGUGUUACAGAUGUAAUCAGUCAGUGUUGACAGUAUCAACUAAAAUAGAAUCUUUAUUACGAUCAUGACGAUCUUAUAUAGAAUGGGACAAAACAGGACAAACAAAAGAUAAAAAUGUUAUAUGAGUUCAAAUGAGUUACAUAUUAAAAAUUUACUUAAAUAUUUUAUACAACGAUUAAAUUUUCCUUUAACUAGAAUUCUUUUUUUUAUAAUAAAAUGAAAACAAAGAAAGAAAAACGACCUAAAAAUAUUAAAAGAUCGAACCCGGCAGCCUAUAAGGCCCAGCAACGAUCUUUUCCUUUCAUCAAUGAUUAAGCUGGGUUACUAACACCCACUUUUCUCAUCACAUCCUUCCAUCGUUUCUCGUAUUCUCUCGGUGGCAGGGUCCUCCUCUCCAACUCCAUCUUGCUCUUCAGGUGGUAUCUGAAGUAAGACAGCGAACCGGGGCCAGAGAUGAAGGACCCUUUCACCGAACAUUUUACAUUUGCUAACCAAUCAACUGACAUUUUAAAUUCAAGCCAGCAAAGAAUUGUUACUGUUUGUAUUAUAGAAUAAUAAAAUAAAGGCAGACUGAAACAGUAGAACAGAACGAAGGUAUAAAACCAUUGUUGAAUGGUUUGCUUUAAAUACACAUAAGAGCUAACAAAAUUUACCUCAAAGUGGAAAUAUAUUUCUCAUCCAUAUUCAUGUUACUUUAAAAAAUGUAAAACUUGAAGACAUCAUUAGAUGAUUUGUAAAUUCAAUUUCUUUUAUUGAAAGUAUUUUAUUUCCAUUCCCAUUCUAUUAGCAGUGUUUAAGGAAAAUGAUAAACUUAUUAAAAACUCUAUUGCUAAAUUCAACACUCUUCUGCUAAAGUGUUGCCUCGUGCAUAUUUAAAAUUGAAUACAGCAUGUAUGUAUCAAUUUCUUGCAUUCCAUCUGUCAUGUAAAGACUGCAGAGUGUAAGUUCAAAUCAUUUGAGCACUACUAUGUGUUUUCUAUACUGAGCAUUUCUAGACCUCACCUGGUGGCUCCAUACACACACAUACACACACACACACACAUAUAUAUGUAUGUAUUUAUACACACACACAGACACACACACACACACAUGUAUAUAUUUGCACAUACACACACACAUGCACACAUAUGUAUUAUAUAUAUAUAUAUAUAUAUAUAUAUAUAUAUAUAUAUAUCAUCAUCAUCAUCAUCGUCAUUAUCAUCAUCAUUUAACAUCAGUUGUCUAUGCUAGCAUGGGUUGGACAGUUUGACAAGAGCUGGGGAGCUGGGGAGCUGCAUCAGCUUUGGUCAAUCUGUUUAACUCACACCAGCAUAGGCAAUCGACAUUAAAUGAUGAUAAUGAUGAUAUACAUGUAAGACAUAUAUAUAUAAUCUAUCUGUCUAUCUGUCUGUCUGUCUGUCUGUCUAUCUAUCUAUCUAUCUAUCUAUCUAUCUAUCUAUCUAUCUACCUACCUACCUGUCUGUCUGUCUGUCUGUCUGUCUAUCUGCCUGCCUGCCUGCCUGCCUGUCCGUCUGUCUAUCCAUGUGUGUGUGUGUGUGUGUAUAUGUAUUGUACAUAUAUGUGUGUAUUAUAUAUAUAUAUAUAUAUAUAUAUAUAUAUAUACAUACAUACAAACUUGUUACUAGUUGAAAUAUGCUUGGGGCAAACUUGAACCUGUAUGAAAGCCAUUCAUUGUAUUUUGUCAAGGAGAAAAUUCCUUGCUGUAGACAGACAGGUAGAUGACUUAGUGUGUUUACACCUAUUUGUCUAUAGUGAAAAAUUUUCUGCAAUACAAAAUACAGUGAAUGGCUUUCAAGCAGGUUUGAAUAUGUGACAAACUUAAUUUAAUUGGUAGCAAGUUUGUAUUUAUUCACAUCACUACUUAGCACUUCUACUAUGUGUGCACAUAUAUAUAUAAUUGAGAUUCAGUUGAAUGGUUGAAUGAGGUACUUAAGUUGAAGCACCAAAUCAGUGCGGUAUUAUCCGUACAACUCAAAGUAAGGUGAAUAAAAUCAAAAUAAGCAACAGGAUAUCAAGAAGUAAUGCAGUACGACCAUUUCAAUCGGUUCCAUUUAAUUGAACAAUGUAAUCAUUACAUCAAUUUAAAUGCAGAGCUAUCCUCAGCUGCAUAAAUAAAUAAAUAGAAUUUUUAAUCAGUUGGACACAUUAAUAUAAUUUGACUUAAAUGUUCUAAUAGAGCAAGAAGACAGAAAGCGUCCAUGUUGCUACUAAUGUAGCUAAGUGUAUACUACACUUCUAAGAAAUGUAUGAAGUUUGUUGGGGUCAUAUCUUGUAAAGGAUUGUAGUUCAUUUUUAAUUUAUUAGUCUUUUUAUCGACUACCAAAUCUAAGGCUAGAGAACUGUGUCUGUUUAGAAUGGAGGGCAGGAGUGAGUUGACAGCACAUAACUUGGUAUUGUCAUAAUAUUGUGACGAUUAGUAUAAAGCAACUGUCAUUAAAGGAGGCUGGGUAGGGGAAGACCCCAAAUCAAGAUGUUAAUUACAAGUUAUAGGGGCAAGACGCUAAUAGAAGCUAUGAUAUUAAUACAGAGGAAACUAUCAUGGGGUACUAAGGAAGAUUGUAUAUAAACAAUAGUGUUAUGUUGUAUAAAGAUAAAAUUUAAGAUUAUUAAAAAUGAUAUUAUAACCAAAAUAGAUAAAAUGUGUAUAUAUACUAAUUUUCAACAUUAAAAAGGGAAGAUUACAUAGAAUUUGUUUAAUAUUCAUUCAUGUACAUAAUUAUUUACUUAUAAGGUGGUUUUUAUAAAGACUCUUCUGCAUAUUUACUUAUAGAAUACUGGGACAAUAAAUCAUGCUCUGUAUAUAUUGAUUUUUGUCUUCUUGCUCUAUUAGAGCAUUUGAGUAAAAUCAUAUUAAUGUGUCCAACUGAUUAAAAAUUAUAUUUAUUUAUUUAUGUAGCUGAGGAUAGCCCUGCAUUUAAACUGAUGUAAUGAUUGCAUUGUUCAAUUAAAUAGGGCUGCUUGAAAUAGCCGUACUGCAUCAUCUCUUGAUAUCCUGUUGCUUAUUUUGAUUAUAUAUAUACACAAAUAUAUACUUAUAUGUAUGCAUAUGUAUAUAUAUAUAUAUAUAUAUAUAUAUAUAUAUAUAUAUGUAUGUAUGUAUGUGUGUGUGUGUAUAUUAUAUAUAUAUAUAUAUAUAUAUAUAUAUAUAUAUAUAUAUAUAUAUAUAUAUAUAUAUAUAUAUAUAUAUACAUAUAUAUGUAUGUAUAUAUACACACACAUCUACAAAUAUAUACAUGUAUAUGUCUGGAUAUAUAUAUAUACACACACACACACACAUAUAUAUAUAUAUAUAUAUAUAUGUAUAUGUAUGUAUAUCAAAUACAAAUAUAAAUACACAUCAUCAUCAAUUUAACAUCCGCCUUUUCCAUGCUUGCAGACGGAAUUCAUUGAGGCAGAUUUUUACAGCCAGAUGCCCUUCCUGUCACCAACCCUCACCUGUUUCCAAGCAAGGUAAUAAUCCCCAAGUCUAUCAAACCACGAGCCUUUUAAUUACAAAGAUCGCACAUAUCAAAACCUGUGAAGGAGACUUGCAGUGAACAGCAAGCAAAGAAAACUAUUUUCAUUGACAGCAAGUUAUCAUCUAGACUCAAACCAACACAUGGAUAUGGAAAUUACUAUCUCAAUAUGAGCUCACCUGGACUCCUCUUGUAGCCACUCUCUAUCCUGCAGGCUUUGUCCUUGAUAAAGACUACAGAGUGUAAGCUCAAAUAUUUUGAGCACUACUAUGUGUUUUCUAUACUGAGCAUUUCUAGAUCUCACCUGGUGGCUCCAUACACACAUACACACACAUAUAUGUAUGUAUUUAUACACACACACACACAGACACACACACACGCACACACACACGAUGGAGUCACACAAGUACACUCACACAAACACACAUGUUGAUAUAAAGCCACCUGCGUAUUGUACUUAAUGUAAAUGCAAAUUGAAAGGAAAUUUACUGGAGUACUCAUCCAGAGAUAGCAUUUUACGGAUGUUUUGUGUUUAAAAACGCUGGUCUUGUCAAAUCCAUGUUCUUACAGCCUGUUACUUGUUUAAAUGAGAUUUGUUACCAUUGAUAUUUAAUAGAUAAAGGGAGGCGCAAUGGCCCAGUGGUUAGGGCAGCGGACUCGCGGUCAUAGGAUCACGGUUUCAAUUCCCAGACCAGGCGUUGUGAGUGUUUAUUGAGUGAAAACACCUAAAGCUCCAC